rnacentral:rRNA from 1 species
GAUGAACGCUGGCGGCGUGCUUAACACAUGCAAGUCGAACGGGAUCCAAGGGGUGCUUGCACUUUUUGGUGAGAGUGGCGAACGGGUGAGUAACACGUGAGUAACCUGUCCUUUUCUUUGGGAUCAGCAUUCGAAAGGGUGUUUAAUACCUUAUGUUCUGUCUGCCUCGCAUGGGGUGGGUGGGAAAGGCUUUGGCCGGAUUUGGGUGGGCUCGCGGUCUAUCAGCUUGUUGGUGGGGUGAUGGCUUACCAAGGCUUUGACGGGUAGCCGGCCUGAGAGGGUGGUCGGUAACAUUGGGACUGAGAUACGGCCCAGACUCCUGCGGGAGGCAGCAGUGGGGGAUAUUGCACAAUGGGCGAAAGCCUGAUGCAGCGACGCCGCGUGGGGGAUGACGGCCUUCGGGUUGUAAACUUCUUUUGCUCUGAACAAGGCAUGCCAGUGGGUGUGUUGAGUGUAGGGGUUGAUUAGCGCCGGCUAACUACGUG